rnacentral:rRNA from 1 species
CGAAACCCYYCCUACGGGAGGCAGCAGUGGGGAAUUUUGCGCAAYGGGGGAAACCCUGACGCAGCAACGCCGCGUGGAGGAUGAAGCCCCUUGGGGCGUAAACUCCUUUCGACCAAGACGAUAAUGACGGUACUGGUGGAAGAAGCACCGGCUAACUCUGUGCCAGCAGCCGCGGUAAUACAGAGGGUGCGAGCGUUGUUCGGAAUUAUUGGGCGUAAAGGGCGCGUAGGCGGKGCCACMAGUCACUUGUGAAAUCCCCGGGCUUAACUCGGGGCCUGSAGGSGAAACUGUGGUGCUGGAGUAUGGGAGAGGUGCGUGGAAUUCCCGGUGUAGCGGUGAAWUGCGUAGAUAUCGGGAGGAACACCUGUGGCGAAAGCGGCGCACUGGACCGUAACUGACGCUGAGGCGCGAAAGCUAGGGGAGCAAACAGGAUUAGAUACCCUGGUAGUCCUAGCCCUAAACSAUGAUUGCUUGGUGUAGCAGGUACCCAAUCCUGCUGUGCCGCAGCUAACGCGAUAAGCAAUCCSCCUGGGGAGUACGGUCGCAAGGCUGARACUCAAAGGAAUUGACGG